rnacentral:rRNA from 1 species
AGAGUUUGAUCAUGGCUCAGGAUGAACGCUGGCGGCGUGCCUAAUACAUGCAAGUCGUGCGGUAACAGGUCUAGUUUACUAGACGCUGACGAGCGGCGGACGGCUGAGUAACGCGUAGGAAUUUGCCCCAAAGUGAGGGAUAAGCCCGAGAAAUCGGGUCUAAUACCGCAUGUGCUCUUCGGAGUAAAGCUUUGGCGCUU